rnacentral:rRNA from 1 species
UGCCAGCAGCCGCGGUAAUACGGAGGGUGCAAGCGUUAAUCGGAAUUACUGGGCGUAAAGCGCGCGUAGGUGGAUGAGUGUGUUGGCUGUGAAAGCCCCGAGCUUAACUUGGGAAGGCCAGCCAAAACUGCUUGUCUAGAGUACGGUAGAGGAAAGUGGAAUUUCAGGUGUAGCGGUGAAAUGCGUAGAUAUCUGAAGGAACACCAGUGGCGAAGGCGACUUUCUGGACUGAUACUGACACUGAGGCGCGAAAGCGUGGGGAGCGAACAGGAUUAGAUA